AACGAACGCUGGCGGCGUGCCUAACACAUGCAAGUCGAGCGCGAAAGUUCCUUCGGGAAUGAGUAGAGCGGCGGACGGGUGAGUAAUACGUGGGUAAUCUGCCCCCGAGCUCGGGAUAACAGUGCGAAAGCGCUGCUAAUACCGGAUAAGACCACAUGACAUAUGUUGUGCGGUAAAAGGUGGCUUUAUUUUCGGAUGAGGCUAUCACUUGAGGAUGAGCCCAUGGCCUAUCAGCUUGUUGGUGAGGUAAAAGCUCACCAAGGCGAUGACGGGUAGCUGGUCUAAGAGGACGACCAGCCACACUGGGACUGGGACACGGCCCAGACUCCUACGGGAGGCAGCAGUGGGGAAUAUUGGGCAAUGGGCGAAAGCCUGACCCAGCGACGCCGUGUGGGCGAUGAAGGCCUUCGGGUUGUAAAGCCCUGUGAGGUGGAAAGAAGGGUCCAGAGGUUAAUACCCUUUGGACUUUGACGGUACCACCAGAGGAAGCACCGGCUAACUCCGUGCCAGCCGCCGCCGUAACAC
rnacentral:rRNA from 1 species